AUGUGCGGCUCCUCCGAGCUCCUCCCUCACCCUGCUUUCUCCAACGCAGUUGCCCCCGAUGACGACCAUGGACGCGACGCCGGAGCAGAAGGGGUUCACCGGCGGGGUGGGGGCUGCUGGAUGCGGCCACCCGCAGCACAAACAAGAGUUGGCCGUCCAGAUGCUCCUGCCGCGGCCGCCUGCAUCACGGACAGGAGCUGGCCGACGAGAUGCUCCCGCCGUGGCUGCCCACAGCCGCGGCUGCAACAGCGACGAGCACGGCAGGAGGAGCCCGAUCUAGAAGACGGCCAUGGCAGGGGCCUGAUUGCUUUUUUGAAAUAUUUGCAGGGACCAAAUUGCAUUUAA
rnacentral:rRNA from 1 species